rnacentral:tRNA from 1 species
AGAGAGUUGGCAGAGUGGUCGAAUGCGGUGGUCUUGAAAACCAUUGUACCGCGAGGUACCGGGGGUUCGAAUCCCUCACUCUCUGCAA